UUACCGAGCGAGAAUUCUCUGAAUUCAACCUCCCACCCGUGUUUAUUGUACCUUGUUGCUUCGGCGGGCCCGCCUCACGGCCGCCGGGGGGCAUCUGCCCCCGGGCCCGCGCCCGCCGAAGACACCUUGAACUCUGUAUGAAAAUUGCAGUCUGAGUCUAAAUAUAAAUUAUUUAAAACUUUCAACAACGGAUCUCUUGGUUCCGGCAUCGAUGAAGAACGCAGCGAAAUGCGAUACGUAAUGUGAAUUGCAGAAUUCAGUGAAUCAUCGAGUCUUUGAACGCACAUUGCGCCCCCUGGUAUUCCGGGGGGCAUGCCUGUCCGAGCGUCAUUGCUGCCCUCAAGCCCGGCUUGUGUGUUGGGUCUCGUCCCCCUUCCCGGGGGGACGGGCCCGAAAGGCAGCGGCGGCACCGCGUCCGGUCCUCGAGCGUAUGGGGCUUUGUCACCCGCUCUGUAGGCCCGGCCGGCGCUUGCCGAUCAACCAAAACUUUUUUCCAGGUUGACCUCGGAUCAGGUAGGGAUACCCGCUGAACUUAAGCAUAUCAAUAAGCGGAGGAAAAGAAACCAAACAGGGAUUGCCCCAGUAACGGCGAGUGAAGCGGCAAGAGCUCAAAUUUGAAAGCUGGCU
rnacentral:rRNA from 1 species